CAUUACUGAGUUUACGCUCUAUAACCCUUUGUGAACAUACCUAUAACUGUUGCUUCGGCGGGUAGGGUCUCCGCGACCCUCCCGGCCUCCCGCCUCCGGGCGGGUCGGCGCCCGCCGGAGGAUAACCAAACUCUGAUUUAACGACGUUUCUUCUGAGUGGUACAAGCAAAUAAUCAAAACUUUUAACAACGGAUCUCUUGGUUCUGGCAUCGAUGAAGAACGCAGCGAAAUGCGAUAAGUAAUGUGAAUUGCAGAAUUCAGUGAAUCAUCGAAUCUUUGAACGCACAUUGCGCCCGCCAGCAUUCUGGCGGGCAUGCCUGUUCGAGCGUCAUUUCAACCCUCAAGCUCUGCUUGGUGUUGGGGCCCUACAGCUGAUGUAGGCCCUCAAAGGUAGUGGCGGACCCUCCCGGAGCCUCCUUUGCGUAGUAACUUUACGUCUCGCACUGGGAUCCGGAGGGACUCUUGCCGUAAAACCCCCCAAUUUUCCAAAGGUUGACCUCGGAUCAGGUAGGAAUACCCGCUGAACUUAAGCAUAUCAA
rnacentral:rRNA from 5 species